rnacentral:tRNA from 1 species
GGAGAGGUGACAGAGUGGUCGAAUGUGCUCGCCUGGAAAGCGGGUGUACCGCAAGGUACCGAGGGUUCGAAUCCCUCCCUCUCCGCCA